rnacentral:lncRNA from 1 species
GCCGGGGCGUCCCCCGCGGGAGCCCGCAGCCACCCGGGACGCGCAUCCAGACGUGGCGCUUCGGACCGGGCACGCUGCGCCCGGGGGCUCGGCGGACCCCGCGUAGCCGCCGCUUCGGAGCUUGUGCGGCGCGGGCUGGCCAGCGGGGCGGCCAGGGCCCGGCCCGCCUCCCCAGCGCCCGCCCGGCUUCUCCCCCUGGCGGUGGGAGCCUCGGCGGCCGCUGGCGACACUAGGCGCACUGAAGCCCGAGCCGAGCCGAGCCCGAGCCGCCGCCGCCGCCGCCGCUGCUGCGCACCGCUCCCGGGCUCCCUCCCAGCGCGCCGGCCGGGGUGUGGGGGGCGGCGGGCCGGAGGGGCGAGGGCGGGCCAGGGGGCGCACACGGGGGUUGGCGCGGAAGACAGGACCCUCAGCCUCGAGGGAGCCCCUAGGUGACCAGGCAAAAUGGCAGUUCCUUCCAGCUGGUCCUCAGAUGGGCACAUCUAUUAGCCUCUGCUCUUGUAAGAAGUUAGCUGCAGAACCCACAUGUGAAUCCUUGUAGGACUCUGGAGAAGAUCAAAUGGGAGCUUAGAUGUGGAAGCUCUUUGGAAACCAAGAAACACUCUGAAAAUGAAAAGGGUGGAAGAGUAAACUGUUCCUGUUUCUCCAUCUUGACAGGAAGCAGAAGUUCUCCUUAGCUGAUUUUUCUUCUUGCCUUAUACUGGGUUCUUUAACACCAGAACAAAAAUAAAUAAAUAAAAGAAUCUUCCAGAAAUUCAUGAAGAGACUUCAGGUCAGGAAAGCCUGAACUUUCUCAUCCAACACCCGUUCAAGUCGGAGGAUGCUGAUUAAUUCAUGAUGGAAAGGUAUCAAUUUCACAGCCCAGACCUCUACAUUCUUGAAAUGCUCUUCUCAUGGGAGACAUUAAAUAAGCUUUGAAUUAACUGGACUUAUCUUCCUCAGUUCUCUGUGAUGAACUUUUGUAGAGCCAUACGAAAGGAGGUUUUUAGCUCUCACCUGUGGUCUUUCUUCAUCAUGCACCUCCUAGAUUCAAAAGUUCAGCAGGGACAUGUCAAGCUAUAUAAAUAAAAACAAACUAAGAAAAAAUGUAACAUUCCAUACCUUAAAACGCAACCUUAAUAACGUGAAAGACCCUGAAGGACUUGAGACGUGAAGAUUUUCUACCACGGUCUUUGCCUGUAUUAUUUCUGACAGCUGUUCCUUUCUACUCCCUCUUGCACACAUCUUUAGUUACUCCCUGUUCUCCAUCCCUCUGAUAAAAUCUAGAGUUCCCCCCUCAAAUUAGAAAAUUAAAAAAAAUUAAAAAUCUAAAAUUAAAAUUUAAAAAAUUUUUAAAAAUCUAGAGUUUAAAAAAAAUGUUCUAUCUCAGGCUUGUGAACCAUAUUGUUAGUUCACAAUUAAGAAUGAUGUACAUCUAUUGGACAAGUUUUAAUUAAUUCUUUCCCUUGGCUGAUUAGUAAAUUUCUGCAGUGAGUACAAAUGUU